rnacentral:rRNA from 1 species
UUGGGCGUAAGAGCUCGUAGGCGGUUCGUCGCGUCGGCUGUGAAAUCCCGAGGCUCAACCUCGGGUCUGCAGUCGAUACGGGCGGACUGGAGUUCGGCAGGGGAGACUGGAAUUCCUGGUGUAGCGGUGAAAUGCGCAGAUAUCAGGAGGAACACCGGUGGCGAAGGCGGGUCUCUGGGCCGAUACUGACGCUGAGGAGCGAAAGCGUGGGGAGCGAACAGGAUUAGAUACCCUGGUAGUCCACGCCGUAAACGUUGGGCGCUAGGUGUGGGGGCCAUUCCACGGUCUCCGUGCCGCAGCUAACGCAUUAAGCGCCCCGCCUGGGGAGUACGGCCGCAAGGCUAAAACUCAAAGGAAUUGACGGGGGCCCGCACAAGCGGCGGAGCAUGUUGCUUAAUUCGAUGCAACGCGAAGAACCUUACCUAGGCUUGACAUGCACGGAAAUCUCGCAGAGAUGCGGGGUGCCUUUGGCGUCGUGCACAGGUGGUGCAUGGUUGUCGUCAGCUCGUGUCGUGAGAUGUUGGGUUAAGUCCCGCAACGAGCGCAACCCUCGUUCCAUGUUGCCAGCACGUGAUGGUGGGGACUCAUGGGAGACUGCCGGGGUCAACUCGGAGGAAGGUGGGGAUGAC